UGAGCUAGAGCUCUAGCAUUCAUUCUCCUGUCCUUCCAGUUGAUAUGGAGGGUUUUCUGAAAACACGGCUGAUGGUUACAUUCCAAGGCUUUCAGGUGUUUUGAAUACAUGAUCCAAGUCU